rnacentral:rRNA from 1 species
UACGUAGGGUGCAGGCGUUAAUCGGAAUUACUGGGCGUAAAGCGUGCGCAGGCGGUUUGCUAAGACAGGUGUGAAAUCCCCGGGCUUAACCUGGGAACUGCGCUUGUUACUGGCAGGCUUGAGUGUGGCAGAGGGGGGUGGAAUUCCACGUGUAGCAGUGAAAUGCGUAGAGAUGUGGAGGAACACCGAUGGCGAAGGCAGCCCCCUGGGCUAACACUGACGCUCAUGCACGAAGCGUGGGGAGCAAA